GAAAUGCGAUAAGUAAUGUGAAUUGCAGAAUUCAGUGAAUCAUCGAAUCUUUGAACACACCUUGCGCUCCUUGGUAUUCCUUGGAGCAUGCCUGUUUGAGUAUCAUGAAAUCUUCAAAGUAAAUCUUUUGUUAACUCAAUUGGUUUCUACUUUGGUAUUGUAGGUCUUUGCAGCUUCACACCUGCUCCUCUUUGUUCAUUAGCUGGAUCUCAGUGUUAUGCUUGGUUACACUCGGCGUGAUAAGUUAUCUAUCGCUGAGGACACUGUAAAAGGUGGCCAAGGUAAAUGCAGAUGAACCGCUUCUAAUAGUCCAUUGACUUGGACAAUACUUUUAUGAUCUGAUCUCAAAUCAGGUAGGACUACCCGCUGAACUUAAGC
rnacentral:misc_RNA from 1 species